UGGGGAAUAUUGCACAAUGGGCGGAAGCCUGAUGCAGCAACGCCGCGUGCGGGAUGACGGCCUUCGGGUUGUAAACCGCUUUCGCCUGUGACGAAGCGUGAGUGACGGUAAUGGGUAAAGAAGCACCGGCUAACUACGUGCCAGCAGCCGCGGUGAUACGUAGGGUGCGAGCGUUGUCCGGAUUUAUUGGGCGUAAAGGGCUCGUAGGUGGUUGAUCGCGUCGGAAGUGUAAUCUUGGGGCUUAACCCUGAGCGUGCUUUCGAUACGGGUUGACUUGAGGAAGGUAGGGGAGAAUGGAAUUCCUGGUGGAGCGGUGGAAUGCGCAGAUAUCAGGAGGAACACCAGUGGCGAAGGCGGUUCUCUGGGCCUUUCCUGACGCUGAGGAGCGAAAGCGUGGGGAGCGAACAGGCUUAGAUACCCUGGUAGUCCACGCUGUAAACGGUGGGUACUAGGUGCGGGGUCCAUUCCACGGGUUCCGUGCCGUAGCUAACGCUUUAAGUACCCCGCCUGGGGAGUACGGCCGCAAGGCUA
rnacentral:rRNA from 1 species